UCAGCCAGGGGCCCAAGCUCAACAGCCUUGGGCUCUAAAGACUCCCAUUCUUGGUGAGAGUCUGAGCUGUACUGAAGCCCACAGCUCCUCUCUCUGGGAUGAAGUUACUAAACUCCGCUCCCAGCUUCAGACUCAGACUCAGGUGACUGAGGCACUAAGGCAUUCUGUGCAGAGCCUGUUGAAGGAUCGGGAGCAGCAGAUGUUCAAGAUCAGUGCUCUAGAAGGUACUGGGCCAAUUCUUUUCUUUAUGUACAGCACACACAGUUUUAAAAUUGAAACCAAAAA
rnacentral:lncRNA from 1 species